AGGGGGAUAACGAUUGGAAACGAUCGCUAAUACCGCAUGACAUAGCGGAAUCGCAUGGUUCUGUUAUCAAAGAUUUUAUCGCUGAUAGAUGGGCUCGCGUCCGAUUAGAUAGUUGGUGGGGUAACGGCCUACCAAGUCGACGAUCGGUAGCCGGACUGAGAGGUCGAACGGCCACAUUGGGACUGAGACACGGCCCAGACUCCUACGGGAGGCAGCAGUGGGGGAUAUUGCACAAUGGGGGAAACCCUGAUGCAGCGACGCCGCGUGAGGGAAGACGGUCCUCUGGAUUGUAAACCUCUGUCUUCGGGGACGAAACGAGACGGUACCCGAGGAGGAAGCCACGGCUAACUAC
rnacentral:rRNA from 1 species